GUUUUAUGUGUUGUUAUUCAAGGAUCAAAGGCACACAGUGCCGCCUCUAGCCCUCACGAUUAUUGCUCUUCCCAGCACAGCAAGUGGCCUUAUCUUAAUCAAACUUCUCUAUCAGCGCUUCAGCCUCAUCCUCUUCAGUCUGCCCAGAGCUGUGGCAUCAUUCACCACCCACAAUCUUGUCUCGUCUGGCUUCUUUGCUCAGUACUCUCUAAUUUUGUUCCUACUUCUUCAGUUAUUUCUUCCCUUCAGCCUCUCCUCCCCCGCCCAUGUUGUGUUUGUGUCCCUGGCUUCACUUUCUCUCCUCCCUUCCUUUCUGGCAGCAAUACAACCUCAGCAUAUCAAAAACCUCAAAGAUGUCUUUAACUCUCCCUCUGGACUCACAACUUUAUCUCCUUCCCUUCUCUUCCCUGGGCACAGUCCCACCACUCCACCUGGCUGCUGCCCUGGCCUGGGCCUUCGUGUCCCACAUCCUGCCCUUCUUGAAAACUGCUUCAGGAGUCUAUUGGAAACACAUGCCCAGUCCCAGGGCUCUGCUGUACCAAGCACCAGAGGAGAGAGUAAUAUGGCAGCAAAUCUCUGCCCUGCACAAUUUACUGAGCAGAUGUUGGACAGGAUAAAAGGAACAAUCCAGACAACGGGAGAAGUCUCCUGAAGCUGAACCUCGCCGUGCCAGGUUCCACACCCUCACUGCUCUGAAGCCAGAGAUUCACAAUUCCUGUAUGAACGUGCACAGUAAGACUCAGGUAAAUGGCAAAUGGCACACAGCAGUUCAAGUCUCUUUAUGCUGUUAUCUGCUUCUUCAUCUUUCAAAAAGCAGAAGCAGCAGCCUGUCUGAGCUGGAAUGCAACCAGCUUUGUGUUGAAAAGGGAAGAAUUCCCUUUAAGAGGUCAGUAUCCAACCUCAGCUUUGUUCAGCACAACCUUCUGAAUAGCAAGAAUUAUGUUUGAAAGGUAUGUACCUUUGAGCAGCUCCUGAAUAGGAAAAACUAUAGGAGACUGCACAUUUUUACAAAGAGAGAAUGUGCUCUUCCCCAUUUACUGAUGCAAUGCUCAAAGAGCUCAGAAAUCACCUCCUGCAGGUGCCAGGCUUUGAGAACAAAACAAAACAAAAAAAGAAAAAUGGAUAUUCUGGUAACUAAGGAGAGGCUAAAAAAAACCUUUUUUCUAGGUCACUGAAAGCAGGCAAAACACAGAAAGUGUUUUCUAUUGCCACUCCACUCUCCCCUGUGCUCCCCGCAAACAUAAAUAGCUCUGUGAUUCAUUGCAAAGCUGCUCUUCCCUUGUUGAAUUUGAAAGAGAAUAUAAUUGCUUUUUCCAUACACCAGUAAUGAUGACAGGGACCAAGAUGCCUUUUUGACAUAAAAUGGUAUGCCAUUCAUUAAAAUUACUACUGCCUGAGUGGGAAGUUUUCAGCAGAAGUGUCAUCUUCUCAGAACAUGCACUGAAAGGAAGUCAGAUAAAUAGAAGUUUUCUCCUCUUACUUUUGCACAACACAUCACACUAGUUUACAGCUUAACAGAACAUGUCUGCAUGUUCUCAUAGGAGCUGUGGGUUUGUUAAAAUACCAGCCUAAAGCUGGUAUUAAAAAAAUUAAUUCUCCGUAAUUCGAAGUGUGACCAAGUCAGUUCCCAGUGAAAUAUUUUAUCUUUUAUAGUUCUUUGCAUUCUAAGUUUGUGGAUUUAGACAACUUUUGAAUAAACACACACCAUUUGUUACACCGCUGCAAUCAGCAAAUGGCAAACUGUAUUAGGUUUAUUAGAGUUAGGGGUAUGUUUUCAACAGUGAAGGGAAAUAACCAGGAGACGUGGCCAGUGAAGGAAGCAGUGGACUCUGUAACCAGCAUCACCCCCCAAUGAACACUCUGGCUUCUGAUGAAGUGGUCUCUUCCAGCUUCAAAACCUUCUAGAAGUUCUCUCCAGUGAUCAUCCCCCCACCACUGCCUGGUGCCCAGUGUCAGCAGCAGAGCUGCCAGACCUCGGUGGCCUUCACUCCAGGAGAACUUGUAUCACACAGAAUCCCGGAGCUCUCAUGCAACAAAAAUAACAUUGUGCCCUUGGUCAACAGCAAUUUGUUCUGUCUGUCAGCUCAUUCCCUGCUAGAACCCAGUGCCCAUCACACACAGGGCUGCAGGGCUGGGAGAUAAAAGUGAAACAUGCCGUUUAUUCUGAAAGCAGAGUUAGAGCAGAGUAACAUCCUUUUGCCUGUGAUGCACCUCGCUGUACAGCAAACGCAACACAUCAAUUGCUGAUGCUAUCAAAGGAAAUAGCAUUUCCAGCCACAUGGGAAAUAUGUCAGCAAAACAAAUGGAUUCAAAUAAACAGCAGCAGAAGGCGCAUAGCAAUAUUGAUUCAUGGCUUUUUAUCCUCUGUCCUUUUGAAAUGGUCCCUUUCCAGCACUCAAGCUGCUGUGAUAAAUACCUUCUCCGCCUCCUGUAUGCUUGACUACUGAGAAUAUAAUUUAUGUGAUUUUUUUGAGCAGAGAGGGAAAAAAAAAAGAUUAAAAAAAAAAAAGACAUCUACACUUUGUAGUGAUUCUGGUUUUGAGCCAUUAGCUUGCCCUGCAGUAUCAAGCAUUGCUUUGAACCUCUCCCUAAUACAACAAUGGCUGAUUUGUAUCAAGGUGCUUCUCAGUAUAGGCAAGGCAUUUGAGAAAAACACUGAAUUAUGUGUCAUUUUAAAAAGGUUAGCAGUAGAAAUACAUCAAAGGAAUCAAGAUCAAAAUUACUGUAAAGUGAGCAAUUGAAGCAACUGGAAAAGUCCUUCCCAUUCAGAUAGGUCACCUAUUCAAGGCCAGCCUGAAUCAAAAGUGAAAAUGAGUCUUCUGUAGCUUUGGAGAAAUGAGACGAGGGGUCUCUCUACUGGGUUUACAUUUGAUAGACAGUCCCAUUGCAAAAUUAUCUGGUGUCAAUUUUAGCAAAGGAUGGGGCAAGGUUGUAGGUUUGAGUAAUUCAAAUUAUUUGAAAUAAAAAUAUUAUGCUAUUUUUUUGAAUAAACAGCACUACCAGAAGGACAUUUUUGCCACCUAGCCAUAAAAGCACAGAAAAAAAUGUGCAGAUGGUGUUUGCUAACUCCUGGUUUGUGAAUGGAUAAGAGUGAGGCCAAAGGUCAGGCAAUGUCUGAGGGCUGUGAGCCUUCAAAAAACCCCGCGGUGAGGGUCUCAACUGCACAGGAUUGUCAGCUUCCACUGGAAGUGCCAUCUCCUGCUUUCAUAUACCAGCUUCCUCCAGGGAAGGACAUCUUGCUUUGGGGCUUGCAGACAGGAUAGUAAGAGAGUCAUUAAUGCCAAAAUAAAAUGAAACUUCGAGGAAUACCAAGAAAGCUUUAACCCCUGCCCUUCAGCACACCUAGUGCUCUGGUACCUCGAGCAGAGCAAUGCUGCCAGUUCAAGUCUUGCCUGUCCCCCAUGCGAGACAAUUUAUCUUCAAAGGGGAGGCAGAAGAGACGUGGCUGACCCAAUCCCCGUGCCCUGAGUGCACUGCUCAAAGACUGCAUAGGUACAGGAAGAGAAAAAAACCCUUGUAAAUCUAAGGAACUGUUUGUGCUGACAUCAGGUUACCCUGGCUGGCACUGAUGACAGGACAGUCCUUUCUGCUCAUUCUAAAGCCACAACUCACUAAAACCCCCUCCUUGAGCUCUAGGAUUCACAGCCCAUAGCACAGUUCUUGGGCAGGAAUGUGGGGUUUUUAGUGAGCUGUUGUGCUAAAUGAUUUGCAAGUGAUUACUCCCCUCCUCCAACCUUAGCUGUCCUUUUUCACUGCUAUAAAAAUGUUAGCAUGACUGCCUCUGAUGAAUUUCAGGAGUUUCAACACAUAAUUUAAAAGCAGAAGUCAUUAGCAAGUAUCUAUUUGAUCACUGACAGCUGAAGCAGUGAGAAGAGCUAUCAUUUAAUAACAGUUAAGGUUAAAUAUAUUCCUGAAGUUUGUCAUCAUUCACUUCCCCUAAGUAGAUGACUUCAGGUAGUAAACUCUGAAGAGAAGGACUGUGUGAAUUACACUGUGUGGCAGGUAUAGCCAUCAGCAGCAGGCUUUAACCUCAGACCAGUCCAAAACAGGAGGCUGACAAACAAUUUCAGGGGAUCAUCAUAUGACAUUAAAGCCCUCAUAAUAUCAUCCUUUCAUGUGUGUGAUAUAUUGGAGGCAGCUCUUGGGUAGUCCUUAAUGGCCCAGCUGCCACCACAGUGAUAUAUGCACUGUGUAUAAAGGAAAUGAAACAGGAAUUAUGCACAGUGCAUCAUUUCUCCUGCUGGUGUCAUUGGGCAGGGAAGACUGCAGCACCCUGUUG
rnacentral:lncRNA from 13 species